rnacentral:rRNA from 1 species
GUCUGAUGUGAAAGCCCGGGGCUCCACCUGGGAAUGGCAGUGGAAACUGGCUGACUGGGGUGCGGUAGAGGGGAGUGGAAGUCCCGGUGUAGCAGUGAAAUGCGUAGAUAUCGGGAGGAACAUCCGUGGCGAAGGCGACUACCUGGACCAGCACUGACACUGAGGCACGAAAGCGUGGGGAGCAAACA